rnacentral:tRNA from 1 species
GAAGGGGUGGCUGAGUGGUUUAAAGCGAUAGAUUGUAAAUCUAUUAAUAAAAUUAUUAACGUAGGUUCAAAUCCUACUCUCUUCA